rnacentral:rRNA from 1 species
UACGUAGGCAGCGAGCGUUGUUCGGAAUUACUGGGCGUAAAGAGUGUGUAGGCGGUGCUCUAAGUUCGGUGUGAAAUCUCCUGGCUCAACUGGGAGGGUGCGCCGGAUACUGAGGGGCUAGAGUGUGGGAGAGGAAAGUGGAAUUCCAGGUGUAGCGGUGAAAUGCGUAGAUAUCUGGAGGAACACCGGUGGUGUAAACGGCUUUCUGGACCAUUACUGACGCUGAUGCACGAAAGCGUGGGUAGCAAACAGG